UGCCAGCAGCCGCGGUAAAACGUAGGAGGCGAGCGUUAUCCGGAGUUACUGGGCGUAAAGCGCGUGCAGGCGGAUGGGUAAGUUACUCAUGAAAGCUCCCGGCUAAACCGGGAGAGGUUGAGUAAAACUGCCGAUCUAGAGUGGAUGAGAGGUAGGUAGAAUUCCUUGUGUAGUGGUGAAGUGCGUAGAUAUAAGGAAGAAUACCCGUGGCGAAGGCGACCUACUGGCAUCCAACUGACGCUCAGACGCGAAAGCAUGGGUAGCGAACGGGAUUAGAUA
rnacentral:rRNA from 1 species